rnacentral:rRNA from 1 species
CGAUGGCCGUACCACCCUGAGCAUGCCCAGUCUCAUCUGAUCUUGGAAGUUAAGCAGGGUCGGCCCUGGUUAGUACUUGGAUGGGAGUUAUCUGGAAACAAAGCAUAGCAAAGU